CCUACGGGGGGCAGCAGUGGGGAAUAUUGCACAAUGGGGGAAACCCUGAUGUAGCGACGCCGCGUGAGUGAAGAAGUAUUUCGGUACGUAAAGCUCUAUCAGCAGGGAAGAAAAUGACGGUACCUGACUAAGAAGCCCCGGCUAACUACGUGCCAGCAGCCGCGGUAAUACGUAGGGGGCAAGCGUUAUCCGGAUUUACUGGGUGUAAAGGGAGCGUAGACGGCAGCGCAAGUCUGGAGUGAAAUCCCAUGGCUUAACCAUGGAACUGCUUUGGAAACUGUGCAGCUAGAGUGCAGGAGAGGUAAGCGGAAUUCCUAGUGUAGCGGUGAAAUGCGUAGAUAUUAGGAGGAACACCAGUGGCGAAGGCGGCUUACUGGACUGUAACUGACGUUGAGGCUCGAAAGCGUGGGGAGCAAACAGGAUUAGAUACCCUAGUAGUC
rnacentral:rRNA from 1 species